AAGCCGAUGCCACAAAAGGGCACUAUUGAGAGAAUCCAAUAUCCACAAAAAGCAAAAACUUUGGAUUAGACAAGUCUGACAGGAAAACAAAAACAUACAAGUAAAAUUUAAAAAUUUAUCAAAAUACAGUGAAUAUCAGCAUAUGGUGAAUUUGGUGGAUCAAAGUUUGAUAUAGGAUAGAUCAAAAGUUGGACUUUUCAAAUAUGUAAUAGGAAGUCAACCUUUACUAUUUAUUAAUGUAAUAUGUGGGAAGUGGUGAUAGGCACCAUUUUGAUGGUGACAAUUUUUUUUUUUUUUUUAACUAAAAGAAAAGAAAGAAAAAAGCUAAGCAAAAGAACCAAAUUCUCAAAGAAGUGCCACCCCAUUGUACAUGAAUAGACCGCUACUCUAAGUUGCAAUCUUGGUGACGAAUUGGGCACAAAAGAUCGCCAUAUUUAAUGACAAUCUAUUACCAAGGUUGCCAUUCUAAAUGGUGAUCUUACAUGGCAUAAUCCUUUCUCACAAGUCGACAUUUUGAAUUUCGAUCUAUCCUAAUUCCUCCCAGCAUCCACCCCAAACCUAAACAAAAAAUAACAAUUAAAAAGGAAAUGAAGAAGCUAGCAUAUAAGCUCCACACUUGAAAAAAAAAAAAA
rnacentral:misc_RNA from 1 species